UAUUUCCUUCUGCGCGUCGCCCUUUCCCUCCCCAUCCAUCCGACCACCACGCCCUCCCCCUCGCGACGCGCCUUCCCCCGACGCCGCCUCCACCCAACACUGCCUCCACCCGAUGCCUUCCCUCGCGAGGUUGAGGCAGAUGCCGGGCCGGUGAGCUCCGAGCUCCGGCGGCGGCGGCGGCCGGAUCCAGCGCUACGUCGGCAGCCGCCGGCCAAGGCAGCGGGGGCCGGUGCAAGCAGUUCCGAGGAGGCCGGCGCGGGCGACGACGCGCAAGCGGGGCUAGCCGCCAAUCUCGGCUUGGAUGGCGCCGCAGCCACCGCCAUCGCUGGACUACUGCCUGGGCUUCUUCAGCAGCGCGCAAGCGAGCAUCUUCAAUGCCAUCGACGCCGCUGCCUGCAGGCCAAGGCGCGUCACCUCUUCCUCUCCGUUGCCGCUGGUGGCUCAUCUACAUGACCGGAUCUGACUGAUAUGGCAUCGUCGACAGUGGCUGAGGACGCCACCAUCGAAGAACAGCUCCGCCCAAACAGGGAGAGCUUUAUUUCUUUGAUGAUUACAACCGAAAACCUUAAGCUGUGUUUAUACUAGGCGCUAUGCUAACUGGACAAACACAGAUCCCUGAAAUUAAGGAUGUGGACCUUAAGCUGCCUUUAUACUAGGCGCUAUACUAACGUUAGGCUGCAUAUUUACUCAGUGUGCUGCCAUUCUGUUAUUUUGUGCAGGACUCCUCCACUAGGAGCUGAUCCACCAGGACCAAGAUGUGGAUCGAUGCUGGCAAAAAGGAUCCAGCGGAGCAUGACCCUCUUCCAUCAAGCACCUACAGGAUGGGAAUGAGGUUGCUAAGAAGAAGUCAUUCGUUACACCACCAAGGUUCUUUAGUGUUGACGAGGCGAGAGAACGCUUGCCUUCAGUGAAAAGGAUCUCUGUAAAUAUUUUAAUCCUGGAGACCAUGUAAAAGUCCUAUCCAGAGUUCAAGAAGGCGCAACAGGCAUGGUUGUUAACGUGGAAGGGCAUGUUUUGAUCAUUUUAUCAGACACUACCAAAGGACAUAUCCGCAUGUUUGCAGAUUAUGUUGUGGAGAGUUCUGAGGUCACCACAGGGAUUACAAGAAUAGGUGGAGAGGCUGGCAACUGGCUUUGGUCCUAUCUACUACAUUUUGGUGAGCGUCUCCAGGGGAGGGGAUGAGGUCAGAAGACGGUGUGGUGAAGGAAGUGCUCCCGAUGAGUUCCAACAAGCUUCUGGUGUCACGCGGGCAUGAGGCCGUGGUGAUGGCCAUAGAGAAUGCUGGGCCAGUGCAUUUCUUCAUGACUGGUAUCAUUCGAGAUUCCUAUCGCUGCUCGCAACAGUAUCUUGAACCAAUGACAUUUCAAAUUUGCAUCUUUCAGAAAUUGGACAUAUUAUUCUCUUAUAUAGAGAAAGCUCAAUAUAAAUGUACAAGCAUAAUUCCUACUGAUGAGUGAUCAGUUUAGCAACAAGUAGAUGGUAUUCAGCCCCUGCAUAUUGUGAAAAUAGAAAUAAGGAAUAUAUUUCAUUUAGCAUAGAGUUGUCUUCUAAUUAGAUUUAAAAAUACUGACAACAUAUGGGUUUGUAUGCCCUCCAUUAUUGACACGAUGAUCCAUGAACUACAUUCUUGAAGAUGUUAUUUUAAGCAAGAUUACUGUGUAUUUAAUUAACUCUCUAUAUUUUUCCUUUUUAUGCUUUGGAUACUGAAGAUGAUUUAGUUUCAUCAACUCUCUAUAUGAAGGUUGCUUUACUUAAUCUCACUGAAAUAUCAUCAACUUGGGCAAGGGUUAUUGAUGUCAUGGAUAGUGAGGUAUCAUUACAGCGCACCACCCAGUAUGGAUAAUCCUUAAUAUUUUCUUUCCUUUAUUUUCAAUUCUUCUUUUUUUCCUUUAAAUUCAGUCAGUGUCAAGAUUGUUUGGUUUUAUUGGGGCUGGUGCUAUGCUGGGGCAACUUUUUUGUUCAUUGUUUGCUGCAAGCAUGGCAUGGCUGGGACCUAUACGUACCAUUUAUCUAAGAAGAUUAUCUUAAUAACAUAAUAAAUACAUGUAUAGUAUUUAAUGAAAUGUAAUAUCUGAAUGAACAGUUAUGCUUUUAUUGUCAUCCCUCUUGCUGGAACUUGCUACUAUAUGAUCUAUAAAGGAAUUAUUUUUUUUGAACGAACAUCUAUAAAGGAAUUCACAUUGAUGAUAUUCAGGGUUCAACUGAACUGUUGGAGGGUACAUGAUUUUUCAGAAAAUUUUCAAUUGCAUAAAUUAUUUUGUUCUGAGCAGUAUAUGAUGUUCUCCAGUGAUUUCUUCUUAUUGCUUUGAGAUGACCAAUCUGCAAUCCCGCGUCUUCUGUAGACAAAUUUUGUGGUUCAUUGCUACCACAAAGAUAAUCCACAUCUCUGUGAUCAACUGUGAUUUUUUUUAAUGAUUCAUGAUGAAAACACAAGUUGGAAAAGUUGCCAUUAGGUAAUCCACAUCUCACGCUUCUUUUUUUUUCCUCCUGAGCUUUAUUUUUGUUUGGACUGCCUUGUACCAUAUUUUUUGCUUCUUAAUAUAAUUGUAGGCAGUCCUCCUGCCCGUUAAAAAGAAAAAGAUUGCAUUUACACUGAAUUUGUAGGCAGCACUAGGAUUUGGUUUGGCAUUUACACUGAAGUUGGAAAAGUGCAGUUGUCUUAUCCUUCUUUUACUUUCAGGUAUGGUUAUAAAUAUGUAUCUCUACAUGCACUGUCAAGCUUGCAUGUAAUUAUUUGAACAUGUCAUAGUACAAAGAGCACAUCAAUUGCUCUCCAAAUCACCUUUUCUCCAUGAUUUUCAGAAACUAACAAUAAUAGCUACCACAAUUGGAUUUCUGAAAAUUUUUAUUCUGCAGAAAGGAUGUGCAGGAAUUAUUUCUUUCUUAUAAUCUAGAGCAAUUUACUUUUAUAAUUUUUCAAAUAUGUUAUUGGCAUGAUGAUGUAAUAAUGGACAAUGAUCGUAUGCAUUGGAUGAUGCAAAAUGUCGGAUCUUUAUCCAUUUUCUAUUCUAAAAAAGGAAGGUUGGAGCAUUAUGAAUACCUUGACAAUUUAUUUCAUAAUAUAUUUCCAGUAUGUUUUUCCAGUAUUCAUUACCAUUUUUGUGAUGGUUCUCUUUCAUCAAAUUUAUGUGAUAAAUUGAAUCUAUCUUUCUUGUUAAAGGGUAUACAAGGAGGAUAAGCUUGGUAACCUCCAUUCCUGUUCAUUCCAUUUGACCCAUCCCAUAUUCAGAUUUCUAUCUGACGCAGUUAUUAUCUUAAACCACGUUAGCUUCAAUUAUUGUUCAUCAAUCGUACUGCCCUAGCUUUUAUUCAUUUUGUAUCACACUGCGACGACGAUAUCUAUUCGUUGAAGCAGAUGUCUACAAUCAUAUUAUCGUGGCUACAAAAUUUCUUAUUGAUUAGGAUAUCUUAAGUAUUAUUUUUUAUAAAAUAUAUUAAUCAUUUAAUUCUCUACUAUUAUAUAAUGUAUAAUACAUGUAUGUGUAAUAUUUUAUUUUUUAACUCAUACGCAUUACGCAUAUAGAAUGCAGCAUCUGACCACAGCCUGAUAUCUUUAGAAAUGUUGUAGGAGACCCGCAUCAUCAGCACUAAAAGGUGAUAGAAGCACGUAACCAUGAUACACCAAGUUGCAGGGAUGAUAAAAGAUGUACCCCUCCUCCAUGUAAUGUUCUGAAAAUAAAUUUUGAUGGGGCUUUUAGACAGCAAGAGAAAGAUGGGGCAUGGGGUUUUCUGAUAAGAGAGUGAUGGUCACGGGGUGCUGGCAAGAACUUGGCGUCUCACGGCAGUGCACCAUGCUUUGGUGGCUGAAGGUGAAGCUUGUUUGGCAGCGCUCCGAGCAGCAACGGAGCUGGGGAUCUCCAGAAUCAUUCCGGAAACAGACUCAAAGAAUCUGGUUCAGGCCAUUACAACCAGUGACUUUGAUCAGGCACCAGGUGGAGUCAUUUUCAGAGAAAUAAAGGAGAUGCUGUCGCUGCAUUUUAAUCUUGAUAGAAUUGUUUUUUCUACCCGUUCUUGUAAUAAGUGUGCACACGAGUUGGCUCAUUUUGGCCUAGCUAGGGACCCAGAUCAGCCGAUUGUUUGGCUUGAUCCCCUCCCAAGAUUUGUACGGUCUUUGUUGGAUUGCGAUGCUGCUGAUCCAGAAUCUGGUGUUUGAAUGAAUGAGCAAAGGUUCAAAAAAAGGUGAUUUUAGUAGUGUCGUUAAUUAUCUUAGUAUUAGUAUUGAUGUUCAUUUAUAAAGUAUAUAUAUAUUAUAUCUGCUACUCCUUCAAUAUUUUAAUAGCUUUAUUGCAGUCGUUAGAAUUGGUCUACUUUAGGUGCUAAUUUGAUGCCAUCACGCAACACAGGCCUGUAGUGAAGUACGUCUAUGAGUAUAUAUUAUAAGCACCUUUGUGCGAGUCCCUCGAUUAGAUUGUAUAAGAUUAGACUUGAUUAUUAUAAUACAUUAAUAAAUAAUUCAAAAAUUUAGUAGUCUUGAUGCAAUUUAAUUAUUUUUAAAUGAUUUUUCUUUAAACACGUGCGUGCAUCCCCACUAGUCACGUAUUAAAGGCGUAACAACGAGCACAGCCAUAGUGUAAAAAGAUCAGGUACUUUUUACAGUCUCAGACUGCUCGUUUUGGAUAACUUCAACCUCCCGUGAAUCACGCCAUCAAUAGCUCUUAGUUGUAAAGGCAACAACAAAUUUUUCCACCCCUAAUUAUAUCCCAAUUAACUGCCAUUUUCUCUCUCCCUCAUCACAGGGGCUCUUGUGAAAUCGCCGGAGACACUCAACGCCAUAUCCAACCUAGUCCCUCCCCCACCCAUCACGGUGCUUGCCCGACCACCCCAUGGGCGUUGCGUCGAUUCGGCCGUAUUCCAUCCGCCCAUGCUACUCCGCCGCUGCCUUCCCCAGCCGGAGCCGGCGGCCAUCCAAGUGGCCUUCGACCGCCGAGCUCCUCCACCAUUGGCGUCUCUAGGUUAGUGUGCAACCCUUUGAUCCCGUCCUUCUCAUAUGAAAGGAUCACCAGGUAGAAAUCUCUUUUCACACACCCAAGCAAUUGUUGAUCCAGUAGUAUUCCCCCUUCCCAUGCCCAAUCUCAUCUCACACCCAUUUAUGAUCUGGGAGUUGAUUAUGCAAGCUUCGGAAGUUAGUACAUGGUGAAAUCAAUUUUUUAUUGAAAUAGCGUUAUGGAGCCAGCGAGAAAUUUGGAUGCUACAACGUCCGCCGAGAAACAAAAAACCUUCAUACCU